CCUACGGGAGGCAGCAGUGGGGAAUAUUGGACAAUGGGCGGAAGCCUGAUCCAGCAACGCCGCGUGAGGGAUGACGGCCUUCGGGUUGUAAACCUCUUUCAGUAUCGACGAAGCGCCCGCGUGGGUGGUGACGGUAGGUACAGAAGAAGCACCGGCCAACUACGUGCCAGCAGCCGCGGUAAUACGUAGGGUGCGAGCGUUGUCCGGAAUUAUUGGGCGUAAAGGGCUCGUAGGCGGUUUGUCGCGUCGGGAGUGAAAACACUGGGCUUAACCGAGUGCUUGCUUCCGAUACGGGCAGACUUGAGGCAUUGAGGGGAGAACGGAAUUCCUGGUGUAGCGGUGAAAUGCGCAGAUAUCAGGAGGAACACCGGUGGCGAAGGCGGUUCUCUGGCAAUGUUCUGACGCUGAGGAGCGAAAGUGUGGGGAGCGAACAGGAUUAGAUACCCUGGUAGUCCACACCGUAAACGUUGGGCGCUAGGUGUGGGGCCUAUUCCAUGGGUUCCGUGCCGCAGCUAACGCAUUAAGCGCCCGCCUGGGGAGUACGGCCGCAAGGCUAAAACUCAAAUGAAUUGACGG
rnacentral:rRNA from 1 species